UACGUAGGGGGCAAGCGUUGUCCGGAUUUAUUGGGCGUAAAGAGCGUGUAGGCGGCCAGGUAGGUCUGCUGUGAAAACUCGAGGCUCAACCUCGAGAUGUCGGCGGAAACCAUCUGGCUAGAGUCCGGAAGAGGAGAUUGGAAUUUACGGUGUAGCAGUGAAAUGCGUAGAUAUCGUAAGGAAGACCAGUGGCGAAGGCGAAUCUCUGGACAGUUACUGACACUGAGGCACGAAGGCCAGGGGAGCAAACGGG
rnacentral:rRNA from 1 species